GCCACCUUAGCUCAGUUGGUAGAGCAACGCACUCGUAACGCGUAGGUCGUCGGUUCGUUUCCGACAGGUGGCU
rnacentral:tRNA from 1 species